rnacentral:rRNA from 1 species
ACAACGACUCUCGGCAACGGAUAUCUCGGCUCUCGCAUCGAUGAAGAACGUAGCGAAAUGCGAUACUUGGUGUGAAUUGCAGAAUCCCGUGAACCAUCGAGUCUUUGAACGCAAGUUGCGCCUGAAGCCAUCAGGUUGAGGGCACGUCUGCCUGGGCGUCACG